GGGAGCGUUCUGUAAGCCUGUGAAGGUGUACUGUGAGGUAUGCUGGAGGUAUCAGAAGUGCGAAUGCUGACAUAAGUAACGAUAAAGCGGGUGAAAAGCCCGCUCGCCGGAAGACCAAGGGUUCCUGUCCAACGUUAAUCGGGGCAGGGUGAGUCGACCCCUAAGGCGAGGCCGAAAGGCGUAGUCGAUGGGAAACAGGUUAAUAUUCCUGUACUUGGUGUUACUGCGAAGGGGGGACGGAGAAGGCUAUGUUGGCCGGGCGACGGUUGUCCCGGUUUAAGCGUGUAGGCUGGUUUUCCAGGCAAAUCCGGAAAAUCAAGGCCGAGGCGUGAUGACGAGGCACUACGGUGCUGAAGCAACAAAUGCCCUGCUUCCAGGAAAAGCCUCUAAGCAUCAGGUAACAUCAAAUCGUACCCCAAACCGACACAGGUGGUCAGGUAGAGAAUACCAAGGCGCUUGAGAGAACUCGGGUGAAGGAACUAGGCAAAAUGGUGCCGUAACUUCGGGAGAAGGCACGCUGAUACGUAGGUGAAGCGACUUGCUCGUGGAGCUGAAAUCAGUCGAAGAUACCAGCUGGCUGCAACUGUUUAUUAAAAACACAGCACUGUGCAAACACGAAAGUGGACGUAUACGGUGUGACGCCUGCCCGGUGCCGGAAGGUUAAUUGAUGGGGUUAGCGCAAGCGAAGCUCUUGAUCGAAGCCCCGGUAAACGGCGGCCGUAACUAUAACGGUCCUAAGGUAGCGAAAUUCCUUGUCGGGUAAGUUCCGACCUGCACGAAUGGCGUAAUGAUGGCCAGGCUGUCUCCACCCGAGACUCAGUGAAAUUGAACUCGCUGUGAAGAUGCAGUGUACCCGCGGCAAGACGGAAAGACCCCGUGAACCUUUACUAUAGCUUGACACUGAACAUUGAGCCUUGAUGUGUAGGAUAGGUGGGAGGCUUUGAAGUGUGGACGCCAGUCUGCAUGGAGCCGACCUUGAAAUACCACCCUUUAAUGUUUGAUGUUCUAACGUGGACCCGUGAUCCGGGUUGCGGACAGUGUCUGGUGGGUAGUUUGACUGGGGCGGUCUCCUCCUAAAGAGUAACGGAGGAGCACGAAGGUUGGCUAAUCCUGGUCGGACAUCAGGAGGUUAGUGCAAUGGCAUAAGCCAGCUUGACUGCGAGCGUGACGGCGCGAGCAGGUGCGAAAGCAGGUCAUAGUGAUCCGGUGGUUCUGAAUGGAAGGGCCAUCGCUCAACGGAUAAAAGGUACUCCGGGGAUAACAGGCUGAUACCGCCCAAGAGUUCAUAUCGACGGCGGUGUUUGGCACCUCGAUGUCGGCUCAUCACAUCCUGGGGCUGAAGUAGGUCCCAAGGGUAUGGCUGUUCGCCAUUUAAAGUGGUACGCGAGCUGGGUUUAGAACGUCGUGAGACAGUUCGGUCCCUAUCUGCCGUGGGCGCUGGAGAACUGAGGGGGGCUGCUCCUAGUACGAGAGGACCGGAGUGGACGCAUCACUGGUGUUCGGGUUGUCAUGCCAAUGGCACUGCCCGGUAGCUAAAUGCGGAAGAGAUAAGUGCUGAAAGCAUCUAAGCACGAAACUUGCCCCGAGAUGAGUUCUCCCUGACCCUUUAAGGGUCCUGAAGGAACGUUGAAGACGACGACGUUGAUAGGCCGGGUGUGUAAGCGCAGCGAUGCGUUGAGCUAACCGGUACUAAUGAACCGUGAGG
rnacentral:rRNA from 1 species